AUUGAACGCUGGCGGCAUGCCUUACACAUGCAAGUCGAACGGUAACAGAUCUUCGGAUGCUGACGAGUGGCGAACGGGUGAGUAAUACAUCGGAACGUGCCUAGUAGUGGGGGAUAACUACUCGAAAGAGUGGCUAAUACCGCAUGAGAUCUACGGACGAAAGCAGGGGAUCGCAAGACCUUGUGCUACUAGAGCGGCCGAUGGCAGAUUAGGUAGUUGGUGGGAUAAAAGCUUACCAAGCCGACGAUCUGUAGCUGGUCCGAGAGGACGAUCAGCCACACUGGGACUGAGACACGGCCCAGACUCCUACGGGAGGCAGCAGUGGGGAAUUUUGGACAAUGGGCGCAAGCCUGAUCCAGCAAUGCCGCGUGCAGGAUGAAGGCCUUCGGGUUGUAAACUGCUUUUGUACGGAACGAAAAGCCCUGGGUUAAUACCCUGGGGUCAUGACGGUACCGUAAGAAUAAGCACCGGCUAACUACGUGCCAGCCGCCGCGGUAAUAC
rnacentral:rRNA from 1 species